GAUGAAGAACGCAGCGAAAUGCGAUAAGUAAUGUGAAUUGCAGAAUUCAGUGAAUCAUCGAAUCUUUGAACGCACAUUGCGCCCGCCAGUAUUCUGGCGGGCAUGCCUGUUCGAGCGUCAUUACAACCCUCAGGCCCCCGGGCCUGGCGUUGGGGAUCGGCGGAAGCCCCCUGCGGGCACAACGCCGUCCCCCAAAUACAGUGGCGGUCCCGCCGCAGCUUCCAUUGCGUAGUAGCUAACACCUCGCAACUGGAGAGCGGCGCGGCCACGCCGUAAAACACCCAACUUCUGAAUGUUGACCUCGAAUCAGGUAGGAAUACCCGCUGAACUUAAGCAUAUCAAUAAGCGGAAGA
rnacentral:misc_RNA from 1 species